GCUCUAGAAACAUCGUUCCAUUACUGGAUUGAAUGUCCGGCGUACACCAUCGAAAGGACGACUUUAGAAGCAGCAUUGGGUCUUUCUAUCGCCUCCCUUUCAGAUUUAAAUGCGAUCUACUGGCCUCCACCCCAGACGGACUCACGACAACACAUAGUGCAAUUAGAACGCUACAUCGAGUCAACUCGUCGUUUCACGUGACACCAGUAUUACAAUCUUCGCAAUCGGAGGAAAAAGCACCAGCUAUAACCUCCAUAUGACAGAAUAGAAGAAGAAGAAGAAGUCCUAGUGGUCUGCACCUGCGAUGGUUUUGAUUCUUGAUAAAAUUUGGUAUUAUGAUUUUUAAUUUCCCAUAUAUUUUUUUCAUUUGUGCAAUUUUCGAGUUUAUUAUAUAAUAUUUUAAAUUGUCUUUC
rnacentral:lncRNA from 1 species